AUGCCGAAGAAAAAAGGGAAAAAAGGAAAAAAAAAAAAACAAGAAAAAGAGGACAAAGAUGACAUCGCGGAAGUUGAUAAGGAAUUUUAUGAAAUUCAGAUUUCAGACCUUACAAAGAAGCUCACAAGAUUACGCUCACAUGCUGGUGAAUUGGAAAAAGAAAAUGAGAAUGUCCGGGCAGAGAUGCAUGGGCUGGAUGAAGACAGAGCUGAUGUUAUAGCAUUCUUGAAACGGACCUUGCAAAAGAAAGUAGAUGAGAAUGCUGAGCUGAUGAAUAGAAUUCUAGCACUUGAGCAGGUACCUAAGUUUUGCCGAGGAGAAGGAGAGUACAAAAGUAUAUUUUGCAUGGUUUCUCCACUGCAAAAAGUACCCAGAAAAAUUUGUUUGAAGCUUUAAACAUUUUCCAAAGAGCCUUCUUUUUGAAGAAAUCCCAAAAUAAUUUUGUUGUGAAGUAACUAUGUUUUAUUUUGAACAGUUUUAUGUAGAGGAGUGACUGUACCUCCAGGUAACUACUAUUUUUAGAUGCGCAUAAUUGCUUUAAAUCUGAGAGUACUGGUGCUCAAAAUGAUCGACAUCCUUUCAAAAAUCAUACACCCCAUAUGAUUAUGGAGGAGGUUUCCAAAAUUUGUACGUUCAGUUGAGAGGUGUGAUAUGCUAGGUAGGUAUUCAUCUGCAAAGCAAACCCCUCCCAAAAAAAAUCUUUUUGUACCUCAGUUCAGGAGAUAUUCUCCUCCAAAAUAUUUUGAAUUUUUAUUCAUGAAUUUAUUUCAAUACUACUCAUUUGGUUUUUUUCUGGGAAAAACUGUUGUAGGCCAGAGAGGCAGAGCAAACUGAGUUCCAACAAACUAUCACACAGAAAGACAAAGAAUUCAAAGAAAUGUACGAGCAGCUGAAUGCAGAGAUCAAACUUUUAAGUAAGAUUUAAAAACUAUCUGAUCCAUAUUUUAGGGUUAAAAUCCUUGUUUUUUUUUUUUUUUUUUUUUUUUUUUUUUUUUUUUUCAUAAAGAUUCGCUCAAAGCUAUAAAAAUUCUACUCUCAAAUAUCAAGUAAAAAGUUGGAUUCUCUCUUUCUUUUUUGACAAAAGCUGUACGUACUUACAGCCUAUAAAUAUUAAUUCUAUACGCUCUUUCGUUUAAAAAUUGAUGCCUGACUGACUCUAAAUGUGAAUGUCAUUAAAUGGUGAAGAAUUGUUAGUGAGUUUUCAGCUGCUAAGGGUAUUGAUGGAUGUAAAAUAUCGGUGGUUAUGAACUCAAAAACUAGUAUCUCAAUGGCAGUGUUUCUAAAUUGUCCCUCCUUUUUUUGUAACAUUUUAAGAGGAACCAACUUGGUCGCUUGACAUUCUUAUAGAAUAGGUACUCUUCAGCCAAGGAAGAAAGAUUUUACAAAAUUUUAAAAAAAUUUGUUGAUUACAGUUUUUCUGUUUAAGUAAAAAAAGGCAUCAAUGGAGGUCUGCAAAAACGCAACGUCAGCUGCUUUCUGAGUUCAGUUUUCAAAAUGCAACGUUUUUUCAAUAAAAAAAAGAGCUUCUGAAAAAUACUUAGCACAGGUUUAGUUGAUAAAUCUAUUAAAUAUGUUAUUAUACUUUUUCCUUUCAGAUGGGAAACUGAGUUCGUUAGAGGAGUUCAGAAUUCAAAAAGAAGAUCUGAUGAAUAAAUUUGCUUGUCAAGAAAAAAUGUUUGAAGAUCAAGAGAUCAGACACAAGAAGGAACUUUAUGACAUAGAGAGAAAAUUUAUUGUGAGCAAGGAUCAGUAAGUGAUAAUUUCCAGAGCUAUUAAUUAAUCGUCCUCCAGACAAAAAUUUAGAAACUGGUUAGAUAAGUUGUUCCUACUUAAGGAGGCAAAUCUUAAGAAAUUAAGAGGUGUUACCUAUUGGUAUCAGAAAUGUGUGAGAAUGGAAAUUAGAAUCUUGUUUUUGAUAUUUAUAAUG
rnacentral:lncRNA from 1 species